rfam:Glycine soja cultivar W05 scaffold1410_31, whole genome shotgun sequence.
UUAGAACUGUCUUAGAAUGUGCUACAUUCCAAGAUGAUGGUCUUCUUUCGAAAAUCACCUUAGAAUGCGACACAUUCUAAGACGGUUCUAA